UACGUAGGGUGCGAGCGUUGUCCGGAAUUACUGGGCGUAAAGAGCUCGUAGGUGGUUUGUCGCGUUGUCCGUGAAAACUCACAACUCAAUUGUGGGCGUGCGGGCGAUACGGGCAGACUGGAGUACUGCAGGGGAGACUGGAAUUCCUGGUGUAGCGGUGGAAUGCGCAGAUAUCAGGAGGAACACCGGUGGCGAAGGCGGGUCUCUGGGCCGAUACUGACGCUGACAGCGCGAAAGCCAGGGGAGCAAACGGG
rnacentral:rRNA from 1 species